rnacentral:rRNA from 1 species
UACGAAGGGGGCUAGCGUUGCUCGGAAUCACUGGGCGUAAAGGGUGCGUAGGCGGGUCUUUUAAGUCAGGGGUGAAAUCCUGGAGCUCAACUCCAGAACUGCCUUUGAUACUGAGAAGCUUGAGUCCGGGAGAGGUGAGUGGAAUUCCUGGUGUAGCGGUGAAAUGCGCAGAUAUCAGGAGGAACACCGGUGGCGAAGGCGGGAUCCUGGGCCAGUACUGACGCUGAGGAGCGAAAGCGUGGGGAGCAAACAGG